GAGAAAUGAAGAGCCUUCUUGGUUGCUAGAGGUGUCCGGACUGUGCUGGUCCCUCACAUCUCUCAGAUUCGGACUGAGAAAUUGGAUUGAGAAUCAGAGACACGAGGAGGACAACAAGGAUUCAACACAGCACUUGGCUUUGAAGAUGAAAGUGUAACCGGGUUUCUUCUUGGAUGUUGUGGGUUCUUGGCCUCCAACCUCUUAAAGAAUAACCAUUUCUUUUACAGGGGGAUUGGAGUUUCCAGCACCUUGGAGUAUUAGCAGAGAUCUCUAUCAGUAUUUCUGCAGACCCUCUCUGAAGCACAAACAGCAAACUUACAUUACUUUUUUUCAGGUAGAAGUUUUAAGAAAAUGCUUUCUCAAGAAUAGCAGUUUCAAAACAAGUUUUAAAUGAAUAAGUUUAUGAAAUUUGUUAAUGACAAGGUUUUUACAAUUUGACAAGAUAGGGAUAAAAUACUAUCAAAUCAAGUUUAAUCUGGGGGCAAGUUAAGCAUCAUUCUUUAUAAAUUCUUGUACAAAUCAUACACAUGACAGCAGUCAUUGCCUCCUGGUGAACACUAAUAUAUCAGUGCUUACAUGUUGUGUCUACUCUCACAGUUCUAUCAACAUUCCUUUUGCCUAAACC
rnacentral:lncRNA from 1 species